GAAACCGUUUGCAGGGAAACAGAUGGACCCACGAAGUCCAGUUGACUGUGAAAUUCACAUCUCAAGACUGUUUAAACUUUAGUGUACACCUUCUAUUGAAGAUGUCCUUUUGUUUUUGACAGUCGAGAGAUGCAUUUUUCACAUUCACGAUGGAGCUCUGACUUCUCAACCAAACUGAACUGCUCAGGGCAGCUCUUAUAUGUAGUAAGAUUCAUGUAAUCUUCAAUAUAUAUUUGAGUGUGCAGUAAGGUUUAACUGAGGGGUUGAAUUUCUCACUUUUGUGAGUGAUUCAGUUUAUCGGAGAAUAUGUUAGAUAGGAAAGAGGCAAGUGGCUCUUUUCGACUCUUGUAGUUGAAAUUGUUAGUUGUUCGCUUUCCAAUAUAUCUAACAUAUUUACCAAUGAUAAUCCAGAGUAAGUAGGUCGGUCAUCCAUCUGACC
rnacentral:rRNA from 1 species